GAAUAUUCGACAAUGGGCGAAAGCCUGAUCGAGCGACGCCGCGUGCAGGAAGAAGCCCUUCGGGGUGUAAACUGCUUUUCUUCGGGAUGAAGUCUGCGCAAGCAGAUUGACAGUACCGAGGGAAUAAGGAGCGGCUAACUUCGUGCCAGCAGCAGCGGUAAUACGAAGGCUCCAAGCGUUAUCCGGAUUUAUUGGGCGUAAAGAGUGCGUAGGUGGUUUUGUGCGUCCUCUGUUAAAUCUAGCCGCCCAACGGCGAGACUGCAGUGGAUACGACAAGACUAGAGGGUGCUAGAGGUUUGCGGAACGCACGGUGUAGGGGUGACAUCCGUUGAUAUCGUGCGGAACACCAAAGGCGAAGGCAGCAAACUGGAGCAUUCCUGACACUGAGGCACGAAAGCGUGGGGAGCGAAAAGGAUUAGAUACCCUUGUAGUCCACGCCGUAAACUAUGUUCACUAGCUAUUUCGAGUAUCGACCCUCGGAGUGGCGCAGCUAACGCAUUAAGUGAACCGCCUGGGAAGUACGAGCGCAAGCUUAAAACUCAAAGGAAUAGACGGGGACUCGCACAAGCGGAGGAUUAUGAGGUUUAAUUUGAUAACAAACAAGGAACCUUACCAGGGCUUGACAUGCUAGUGGAAAGCCGCCAGAAACGGUGGCCCUCUCUCAAGGAUCACUAGCACAGGUGCUGCAUGGUUGUCGUCAGCUCGUGUCUUGAGACGUUCCCUUAAGUGGGUAAACGAGCGCAACCCUUGCUAUCUGUUACAAGUGUCAGAUAGGACUGCCGUGUUUCACACGGAGGAAGGAGAGGAUGACGUCAAAUCAGCAUGGCCCUUUGAUGCCCUGGGCUACACUCAUAAUACAAUGGUCAGUACAAAGAGUUGUGAAACCGUAAGGUGGAACUAAUCUUCAAAACUGGCCUCAGUUCAGAUUGAGGGCUGAAACCUGCCCUCAUGAAGUCGGAUUCGCUAGUAAUCGUGCAUCAGCUAUGGCACGGUGAAUACGUUCUCGAGUCCUGUACUCACCGCCCGUCACGUCAAGGAAGCCGGGAGGAGGCGAAGUCUCGCUUUAGCGGGACCAGUCUCAGUUCGGUGACACGGACGAAGUCGUAACAAGGCACGCGUAGCGGAAGCUGUGCGUG
rnacentral:rRNA from 1 species